AGAGGGUACAGGGUGGAUCUUGGGGGAGGACGUCCCUGCUGGGCUUCCAAGGGAAGCUAUGUAGACAUCUACAGUCUUGGGUCUUUUGAUCU
rnacentral:lncRNA from 1 species